GAAAUUUCCGCGAUAUAGAAGCAGCCAACGAUCAACAGUUUUUGGCCAAACGUGGAACUCGUCUUUUUGGGUGUAGAAAUAUGAAAUAUCCCCACUUGUUUUGAACCUGUCUUCGUAAUCUCCGCUUGAAUUAUCAAAGAAAAUGGCCGUUCUCUCUUUCUUUUUAAGGAUUUUAAAAUGUGAUAAUUUCAUUGACAAUGUGCCAAACGGCCAAUUUUCAUAAGGAGGAUUGAGGCAAGAAGAGGCAUUGGACAUGGGCGCAUUAAAGCGUUGACCACAUAUGAUUUCAUCCCAAUUGAAUAUUGUUAACAAUGGUUGUAAUGGUAAGAGAAGAAUGUACCGUUUUAUUCUUUAAUCCACAUUACGUAAGAGAAGAAUGUACCAUUUUAUUCUUUAAUCCACAUUAUUUCAUGCUUUCUUGUUAAUGCUUUUAAUAAUAAUAAUAAUAAAUUCUUUAACAACCUAACAAGAUUAGGUAGAAC
rnacentral:misc_RNA from 1 species